rnacentral:rRNA from 1 species
UCUACGGGAGGCAGCAGUGGGGAAUUGUUCGCAAUGGGCGCAAGCCUGACGACGCAACGCCGCGUGGAGGACGAAGAUCUUCGGGUCGUAAACUCCUGUCGAGCGGGAAGAACACCCAUCCAGUGAACAACUGGGAGGGCUGACGGUACCGCUAAAGGAAGCCCCGGCUAACUCCGUGCCAGCAGCCGCGGUAAUACGGGGGGGGCAAGCGUUGUUCGGAAUUACUGGGCGUAAAGGGCUCGUAGGCGGCCAACUAAGUCGGAUGUGAAAUCCCCAGGCUUAACCUGGGAACUGCAUCCGAUACUGGAUGGCUUGAAUUCGGGAGAGGGAUGCAGAAUUCCAGGUGUAGCGGUGAAAUGCGUAGAUAUCUGGAGGAAUACCGGUGGCGAAGGCGGCAUCCUGGACCGACAUUGACGCUGAUGAGCGAAAGCUAGGGGAGCAAACGGGAUUAGAUACCCCGGUAGUCCUAGCCCUAAACGAUGAAUGCUUGGUGUAGCGGGUAUCGAUCCCUGCUGUGCCGAAGCUAACGCAUUAAGCAUUCCGCCUGGGGAGUACGGUCGCAAGGCUGAAACUCAAAUGAAUUGACGGA